GAGUUUGAUCAUGGCUCAGAGCGAACGCUGGCGGCAUGCUUAACACAUGCAAGUCGCACGGUCGGGUUUCGGCUCGGCAGUGGCGGACAGGUGAGUAACGCGUAGGUAUCUAUCCUUGGGUGGGGGAUAACCAUGGGAAACUAUGGCUAAUACCGCAUGACACCUGUGGGUCAAAGGCGCGAGUCGCCUGAGGAGGAGCCUGCGUACGAUUAGCUUGUUGGUGGGGUAAAGGCCUACCAAGGCGACGAUCGUUAGCUGGUCUGAGAGGAUGAUCAGCCACAUUGGGACUGAGACACGGCCCAAACUCCUACGGGAGGCAGCAGUGGGGAAUAUUGGGCAAUGGGGGCAACCCUGAUCCAGCAAUGCCGCGUGUGUGAAGAAGGUCUUCGGAUUGUAAAGCACUUUCGACGGGGACGAUGAUGACGGUACCCGUAUAAGAAGCCCCGGCUAACUUCGUGCCAGCAGCCGCGGUAAUAC
rnacentral:rRNA from 1 species